AGUGAACGCUGGCGGUAGGCCUAACACAUGCAAGUCGAACGGCAGCACAGUAAGAGCUUGCUCUUACGGGUGGCGAGUGGCGGACGGGUGAGGAAUACAUCGGAAUCUACUUUUUCGUGGGGGAUAACGUAGGGAAACUUACGCUAAUACCGCAUACGACCUACGGGUGAAAGCAGGGGAUCUUCGGACCUUGCGCGAUUGAAUGAGCCGAUGUCGGAUUAGCUAGUUGGCGGGGUAAAGGCCCACCAAGGCGACGAUCCGUAGCUGGUCUGAGAGGAUGAUCAGCCACACUGGAACUGAGACACGGUCCAGACUCCUACGGGAGGCAGCAGUAGGGAAUAUUGGACAAUGGGCGCAAGCCUGAUCCAGCAAUACCGCGUGAGUGAAGAAGGCCUUCGGGUUGUAAAGCCCUUUUGUUGGGAAAGAAAAGCAGCAGGUUAAUACCCCGCUGUUCUGACGGUACCCAAAGAAUAAGCACCGGCUAACUUCGUG
rnacentral:rRNA from 1 species